rnacentral:rRNA from 1 species
CCGGUAAACGGCGGCCGUAACUAUAACGGUCCUAAGGUAGCGAAAUUCCUUGUCGGGUAAGUUCCGACCUGCACGAAUGGCGUAAUGAUGGCCAGGCUGUCUCCACCCGAGACUCAGUGAAAUUGAACUCGCUGUGAAGAUGCAGUGUACCCGCGGCAAGACGGAAAGACCCCGUGAACCUUUACUAUAGCUUGACACUGAACAUUGAGCCUUGAUGUGUAGGAUAGGUGGGAGGCUUUGAAGUGUGGACGCCAGUCUGCAUGGAGCCGACCUUGAAAUACCACCCUUUAAUGUUUGAUGUUCUAACGUUGGCCCCUGAUCGGGGUUGCGGACAGUGUCUGGUGGGUAGUUUGACUGGGGCGGUCUCCUCCUAAAGAGUAACGGAGGAGCACGAAGGUUGGCUAAUCCUGGUCGGACAUCAGGAGGUUAGUGCAAUGGCAUAAGCCAGCUUGACUGCGAGCGUGACGGCGCGAGCAGGUGCGAAAGCAGGUCAUAGUGAUCCGGUGGUUCUGAAUGGAAGGGCCAUCGCUCAACGGAUAAAAGGUACUCCGGGGAUAACAGGCUGAUACCGCCCAAGAGUUCAUAUCGACGGCGGUGUUUGGCACCUCGAUGUCGGCUCAUCACAUCCUGGGGCUGAAGUAGGUCCCAAGGGUAUGGCUGUUCGCCAUUUAAAGUGGUACGCGAGCUGGGUUUAGAACGUCGUGAGACAGUUCGGUCCCUAUCUGCCGUGGGCGCUGGAGAACUGAGGGGGGCUGCUCCUAGUACGAGAGGACCGGAGUGGACGCAUCACUGGUGUUCGGGUUGUCAUGCCAAUGGCACUGCCCGGUAGCUAAAUGCGGAAGAGAUAAGUGCUGAAAGCAUCUAAGCACGAAACUUGCCCCGAGAUGAGUUCUCCCUGACUCCUUGAGAGUCCUGAAGGAACGUUGAAGACGACGACGUUGAUAGGCCGGGUGUGUAAGCGCAGCGAUGCGUUGAGCUAACCGGUACUAA